rnacentral:rRNA from 1 species
UGAGGAAUUUUGCGCAAUGGGGGGAACCCUGACGCAGCAACGCCGCGUGGGUGAUGAAGGCCUUCGGGUCGUAAAGCCCUGUCGGGCGGGAAGAACGUCCCUUCGGGGAAUGACGGUACCGCCAGAGGAAGCACCGGCUAACUCCGUGCCAGCAGCCGCGGUAAUACGGAGGGUGCAAGCGUUAUUCGGAAGUACUGGGCGUAAAGGGCGUGCAGGCGGGAGAGCAAGUCUGCUGUGAAAUCCCGGGGCUUAACCCCGGAAGGGCAUUGGAAACUGCUGUGCUUGAGUUCUGGAGAGGAAGUGAGAAUUCCCGGUGGAGAGGUGAAAUUCGUAGAGAUCGGGAGGAACAUCAGUGGCGAAGGCGCCCUUCUGGACAGCAACUGACGCUGAGACGCGAAAGCGUGGGGAGCAAACA